rnacentral:snoRNA from 1 species
CCAACAUGGAUACCCUAGAAGGAUGCUUUCCCAGGCUCUGUGCAGGUGGUGGUAGGGAAUCCCUUUCCACAGUGUUGGAGAUAAAGCCCGGCCUCUGAGUCUGUGCGUGCAUAUUCCUACAACUUCUCAGAGUCACAUGGACUGUGACUGAGGAGCCAAACCAUGCAGGAGAUAGUU